UACGAAGGGUGCGAGCGUUAUUCGGAAUGAUUGGGCGUACAGGGUGCGCAGGCGGUAUAUUAAGUCAACUGUCAAAUACCUCAGCUUAACUGGGGACCGGCGGUAGAUACUGGUAUGCUAGAGGAUGGAAGAGAGAAGUGGAAUUCUUGGAGUAGCGGUAAAAUGCGUAGAUCUCAAGAGGAACACCGAUGGCGAAGGCAGCUUCUUGGUCCAUUCCUGACGCUCAUGCACGAAAGCGUGGGGAGCAAACAGG
rnacentral:rRNA from 1 species